GCAUUCUUAGCUCAGCCGGAUAGAGCAAUGGUCUUCUAAGCCUUUUGUCGCAGGUUCGAAUCCUGCAGAAUGUA
rnacentral:tRNA from 1 species